CGGGGUGCAGCAGUGGGGAAUAUUGGGCAAUGGAGGAAACUCUGACCCAGCGACGCCGCGUGCGGGAUGAAGGCCUUCGGGUUGUAAACCGCUUUCAGCAGGGAAGAAGCGAAAGUGACGGUACCUGCAGAAGAAGCACCGGCUAACUAUGUGCCAGCAGCCGCGGUAAUACAUAGGGUGCAAGCGUUGUCCGGAAUUAUUGGGCGUAAAGAGCUCGUAGGUGGUUCGUCACGUCGGAUGUGAAAAUCUGGGGCUCAACCCCAGACCUGCAUUCGAUACGGGCGAUCUAGAGUGUGGUAAGGGAGACUGGAAUUCCUGGUGUAGCGGUGGAAUGCGCAGAUAUCAGGAGGAACACCAAUGGCGAAGGCAGGUCUCUGGGCCAUUACUGACACUGAGGAGCGAAAGCGUGGGGAGCGAACAGGAUUAGAUACCCUCGU
rnacentral:rRNA from 1 species